rnacentral:rRNA from 1 species
AUGCAGUCGACGGCAGCACAGUAAGAGCUUGCUCUUAUGGGUGGCGAGUGGCGGACGGGUGAGGAAUACAUCGGAAUCUACCUUUUCGUGGGGGAUAACGUAGGGAAACUUACGCUAAUACCGCAUACGACCUUCGGGUGAAAGCAGGGGACCUUCGGGCCUUGCGCGGAUAGAUGAGCCGAUGUCGGAUUAGCUAGUUGGCGGGGUAAAGGCCCACCAAGGCGACGAUCCGUAGCUGGUCUGAGAGGAUGAUCAGCCACACUGGAACUGAGACACGGUCCAGACUCCUACGGGAGGCAGCAGUGGGGAAUAUUGGACAAUGGGCGCAAGCCUGAUCCAGCCAUACCGCGUGGGUGAAGAAGGCCUUCGGGUUGUAAAGCCCUUUUGUUGGGAAAGAAAAGCAAUCGAUUAAUACCCGGUUGUUCUGACGGUACCCAAAGAAUAAGCACCGGCUAACUU